CAGCAGGAGCAGCGAGUCUUGCUGCUGGCGCGUGAAAUUCUCGCGCAUGUGCACGGCCUUCGCGCUCAAAUCCAACUCAAACCCCGGGGCACCUUUAUAUAUCGCGAGCCAAAUUUAGAAAUCUGAGGUUCUUGUAAGUAAUCGGAAGGAAGGCAAAAGCAAAAGCCUUACUCGUUAGGUAACCUUUCAAAAAUGAAAGCGGGGGCUUCGGGGGAAGAUUUCGGUUCGUUGUUAUUACAAACACCUUAUAUUGCCUUUGUGAAGGGAAUGGUCCCCCGGGGCGAAAAUAACUACAACUUUCCACAACGGAUCUCUUGGCUCUCCCAUCCAUGAAAAACGCAGCGAAAUGGGAAAAAUAAAGGGAAUUGGAAAAUUCCAUGAAUCCUCCAAUCUUUGAACGCACCUUGGGCCCCUUGGUAUUCCCAAGGGCAUGCCUGUUUGAAUGGCAUGGUAAUCUCAAGCCGCUCCUCUUUCUUAAUCCAAGGGCUUGGAGGGUUGGAUUUGGAGGGGUACUGGUGGCCCCUCUCCAGGGGUCGGCUCCCCUUAAAUAUAUUAACUGGGCUUUGGCUCACGUUUACGGGGUAAUAAUUGAAUCCGUUCACCAACCAACGCUUGGCUGAAGGGCCUGCUUCUAACCGUCCCCGAAUCCGACAAAGAGUUUUAUCUCCUUCUUGAACCAUUUGACCUCCAAUCCGGUAAGAUUAACCGCUGAACUUAAGAUAGCCAUAAGCGGAAGAAA
rnacentral:rRNA from 1 species